rnacentral:lncRNA from 1 species
GUGCAUUUCCUGGUGUAUGUUCCUGCCGCACCGGAUACUCUGGAGUCAAAUGUGAAAAAAAGAUACAGAUGAAACAUCGUUGAGAAACGCGUACUGUUUACAAACCUCUAUCAUUAGAAAUUCAGUAUUAUUCAGAAAGAGUCGAAGAUAAUUUUGGAACUUAUUUGAAUAUUGCUUAAAGUAUUAUAAAGACAAAAGAAAGUAAUAAAAUGUGCAAUGAUCUAAGUUGUCAAUAUCAAAGAAAAACAAAAUAAAAGCUCCAAG